UUUGGCAUAGAACGGCGUCGGGUCGACGGUGGUCAGUGCCCGCCGGACCUCGAUGUUGAGGUCGGCCAUGUACGCGUCGUGGAGCUGUAC
rnacentral:tRNA from 1 species